rnacentral:rRNA from 1 species
AUUGAACGCUGGCGGCAGGCCUAACACAUGCAAGUCGAGCGGAUGAAGGGAGCUUGCUCCUGGAUUCAGCGGCGGACGGGUGAGUAAUGCCUAGGAAUCUGCCUGGUAGUGGGGGAUAACGUCCGGAAACGGGCGCUAAUACCGCAUACGUCCUGAGGGAGAAAGUGGGUGAUCUUCGGACCUCACGCUAUCAGAUGAGCCUAGGUCGGAUUAGCUAGUUGGUGGGGUUAAGGCCUACCAAGGCGACGAUCCGUAACUGGUCUGAGAGGAUGAUCAGUCACACUGGAACUGAGACACGGUCCAGACUCCUACGGGAGGCAGCAGUGGGGAAUAUUGGACAAUAGGCGAAAGCCUGAUCCAGCCAUGCCGCGUGUGUGAAGAAGGUCUUCGGAUUGUAAAGCACUUUAAGUUGGGAGGAAGGGCAGUAAGUUAAUACCUUGCUGUUUUGACGUUACCAACAGAAUAAGCACCGGCUAACUUCGUG